AGCAGCCGCGGUAAUUCCAGCUCCAAUAGCGUAUAUUAAAGUUGUUGCAGUUAAAAAGCUCGUAGUUGAAUUUCGAGAUCAAAUUGUUGGUCGUGCCUUGGUACGUACUGGCAUUAUUGGUUUCUCCCUUCUGACGAACCAUGAUGUCAUUAAUUUGGUGUCAUGGGGAAUCAGGACUGUUACUUUGAAAAAAUUAGAGUGUUUAAAGCAGGCUCGCGCUUGAAUACAUUAGCAUGGAAUAAUGAAAUAGGACGUUUAAUUCUAUUUUGUUGGUUUCUAGGAUUGACGUAAUGAUUAAUAGGGAUAGUUGGGGGCAUUAGUAUUCAAUUGUCAGAGGUGAAAUUCUUGGAUUUAUUGAAGACUAACUACUGCGAAAGCAUUUGCCAAGGAUGUUUUCAUUAAUCAAGAACGAAAGUUAGGGGAUCGAAGACGAUCAGAUACCGUCGUAGUCUUAACCAUAAACUAUGCCGACUAGGAUCGGAUGAUGUUAAUUUUUAAUGACUCAUUCGGCGUCCG
rnacentral:rRNA from 1 species